UACGAAGGGUGCAAGCGUUAAUCGGAAUUACUGGGCGUAAAGCGUGCGUAGGCGGUUUCUUAAGUCUGCUGUGAAAGCCCCGGGCUCAACCUGGGAAUGGCGGUGGAUACUGAGGAGCUGGAGUACGGUAGAGGAAGGUGGAAUUCCCGGUGUAGCGGUGAAAUGCGUAGAUAUGUGGAGGAACACCGAUGGCGAAGGCAGCCCCCUGGGUCAAAACUGACGCUCAUGCACGAAAGCGUGGGGAGCAAACAGG
rnacentral:rRNA from 1 species